UACAGAGGUCUCAAGCGUUGUUCGGAUUCAUUGGGCGUAAAGGGCGCGUAGGCGGCAAGGCAAGUCGGGUGUGAAAGCUUGGGGCUUAACCCCGAAAGGGCACUCGAAACUGCCCUGCUAGAGGGCCGGAGAGGAGAUCGGAAUUCACGGUGUAGCAGUGAAAUGGGUAGAGCUCGUGAGGAAGACCGGUGGCGAAGGCGGAUCUCUGGACGGCCCCUGACGCUGAGGCGCGAAGGCUAGGGGAGCAAACGGG
rnacentral:rRNA from 1 species